GGAGCAGCGGUCACAUGAGGCUGCCCAGCCCCAUCAGCCACGCUAAUGAGUUUCUCAGUUAAUUACUCGGGAUGAGGAGCUGGGAGCUGACACGGCUCCAGUGCCAGGGACACACUGCCCUCUCUUGGAGACUCCAAACCCAACCCCGAUAAGGAUUGAGGAUAAAAAAACCGCUGGAAUCUCCUAAAAAAUGAGUUUUUUUAGCCAAGAAACAGCUCAGGCCUGGCCGGUUGUUCCUUGGAGGAGAAGGGAACACGUCUGGAGCUGCUCCUGGGGCAGGGAUGCACACACAAUGCAUCUCCUCUGGUUGACAACCCCUCUUCUAUUUCGGGAAUGCUGAUCCGCAGGUGGAAUUGGAUUUCUGUUCCCAUGACUGACAACACAACUCCAUCCCGGCCUAUGGCAGCUGCUGCUAUUUUCAGCUCUCUGCCUCUCUCCAGUAUUAUUCCAAAGGGAAGAGGGAUUGGCUGGGAGGAGCAGGGAAUGCUCAGCUCAGGGAUGCUGGAGCACCAGGAGCCAGCUGAGCUCAGUGGAACAGGAUAAACUCGGGAGAGAUAAAGACAUAUCUGGGAUCACGCUGCCGCCUGUGCCAGAAUGUCUGCUGGGAAUGUCUGGAUCGUGGAUUUGUUUCCCAAAAAAAACCCCCAGCGUGCUGCACAGCUCCGAGCUGAUGGACAGACAUUCCUGGUCUGGAAAACCAUGGAAUGCUUUGGGUUGGAAAAGCCCAUCCAGUGUCACCCACACCUCCUAUGCCCAACCUGGGACAAUUCCCUGGCGUUCGUAGGGAAAGCAGGGAUUUAAAUUGGAAGGAAAAGCACGGAGAGAGACCAGAUCAUCCUAAAAAAAAAGCCAAUGGAUCAGGAUUCCAUAACCCAAACGAUGGGAAUGCCAAGGUUUAAUUGGGAUGAGUGCAAUUAAACCUGCCAGACAGCGGUGGAAUUCCACAGCACUCGUGGAAUACAGGGAAAAACGAUUCCCAAGACUUCACCCAGGAGCGUGGAGCUCCUUGGAAUCGCUGCCAGAUCCCGUGGAUCCCUGGAAAUGCAGCACCUGGAGCUUCCUGGAUCCUGAACCCGGCAGAACCGCCAGGACCCCACUUAGGGACACAAUUCCCAAGCUGGAAACGCAUCCAGCAAUUCUCAGCCUGCCCAAAAGGUCUUGUUUUAAUAAAAAAGGGAAAUAAAGAGUCCCCCAGGCCUCGAUUUCUUCUCCCUGAUAGAAAAGUUUGACGAAAUUCCCAACAUUUGUUUGGGAAUUGCACCAUAAAUUCUCGGAGGAGCAGCCGGGCCACGUCAGGAUUUAUGGAGCAUAAACACCGAGCUCUUGCCAGCAAGAAAAAAAAAAAAUAAAAAU